rnacentral:rRNA from 1 species
GACGAACGCUGGCGGCGUGCUUAACACAUGCAAGUCGAGCGAGGCCCCUCCUUCGGGAGGGUGUCCUAGCGGCGAACGGGUGAGUAACACGUGGGCAACCUGCCCUCAGCUCUGGGAUAACUCCGGGAAACCGGGGCUAAUACCGGAUACGACCUCCACGGGCAUCUGCGGAGGUGGAAAGUUUUUCGGCUGAGGAUGGGCCCGCGGCCUAUCAGCUAGUUGGUGGGGUAGUGGCCCACCAAGGCGACGACGGGUAGCCGGCCUGGGAGGGCGACCGGCCACACUGGGACUGAGACACGGCCCAGACUCCUACGGGAGGCAGCAGUGGAGAAUAUUGCGCAAUGGGCGAAAGCCUGACGCAGCGACGCCGCGUGAGGGACGAAGGCCUUCGGGUUGUAAACCUCUUUCAGCAGGGACGAAGCGAAAGUGACGGUACCUGCAGAAGAAGCACCGGCCAACUACGUG